ACGGACAUUCACGACUACGAGGUCAAGAUGCGCAACGUGUUCAAGUUCCUUGAGAACGGCGACAAGGUAAAGGUCACGCUGCGGUUCCGCGGCCGCGAGAUGGCGCACCAGAACCUGGGCCGCGAGUUGCUUGAACGGGUUGCCGAAGACGUCAAGGAAAUCGGCAAGGUCGAGAACAUGCCGAGAAUGGAAGGCCGCCAGAUGGUCAUGAUGAUCGGCCCGACCGCCAAGUGACCCUUUCUGUGAUCGUUUCAGUGAUCCAGUCCAAGCCCGCCGCUUCAGGCGGGCUUUUUCCUUUCCGAACAGGUUUUGACAGGCCGC
rnacentral:misc_RNA from 1 species